AUACGUAGGUGGCAAGCGUUGUCCGGAAUUAUUGGGCGUAAAGCGCGCGCAGGCGGUCUUUUAAGUCUGAUGUGAAAGCCCACGGCUCAACCGUGGAGGGUCAUUGGAAACUGGGAGACUUGAGUGCAGAAGAGAAGAGUGGAAUUCCACGUGUAGCGGUGAAAUGCGUAGAGAUGUGGAGGAACACCAGUGGCGAAGGCGACUCUUUGGUCUGUAACUGACGCUGAGGCGCGAAAGCGUGGGGAGCAAACAGGAUUAGAUACCCUGGUAGUCCACGCCGUAAACGAUGAGUGCUAAGUGUUAGAGGGUUUCCGCCCUUUAGUGCUGCAGCAAACGCAUUAAGCACUCCGCCUGGGGAGUACGGCCGCAAGGCUGAA
rnacentral:rRNA from 1 species